rnacentral:rRNA from 1 species
CAGAGUUUAUCAUGGCUCAGGAUGAACGCUAGCUACAGGCUUAACACAUGCAAGUCGAGGGGAAACGACAUCGAAAGCUUGCUUUUGAUGGGCGUCGACCGGCGCACGGGUGAGUAACGCGUAUCCAACCUGCCCAUCACUUGGGGAUAACCUUGCGAAAGUAAGACUAAUACCCAAUGAUAUCUCUAGAAGACAUCUGAAAGAGAUUAAAGAUUUAUCGGUGAUGGAUGGGGAUGCGUCUGAUUAGCUUGUUGGCGGGGUAACGGCCACCAAGGCUACGAUCAGUAGGGGUUCUGAGAGGAACGGUCCCCCANAUUGGAACUGAGACACGGUCCAAACUCCUACGGGAGGCA